AUAGCGAACAAGUACCGUGAGGGAAAGUUGAAAAGCACUUUGAAGAGAGAGUUCAAGAGUACGUGAAACCGUUCAGGGGUAAACCUGAGAAACCCGAAAGGUCGAAGGGAGAAAUUUAUUCGCGUCUCGCCGCCGGCGGGAGGCGGUCGUGCGACGGAAGACGCGCUCGCGCGUCGUCCGCGCCCUCCGCUUCCGGAUCCGGAGGCGAACGCGUGCACUUUUCUCCCGGUUGGACGUCGCGAUCCGUCGGGCGUCGGUCUACGGCUCGCGGUCGACCCGCUCGACGGUAGACGAACGGUCGAGGGCCGCUCCGCUGGGAGCGUCCGGCCCGUCGCAAGCGCGCCAGGCGCACCGGCGAUCGGACCUGGUGCCGGUCCCGGUCCCUGGCGACUGUUGGCGGCGGAGUCCUCGGACAGACCUGCGACCGAUCGGCGACGCUAUAGCUUUGGGUACUUUCAGGACCCGUCUUGAAACACGGACCAAGGAGUCUAGCAUGUGCGCGAGUCAUUGGGACCGUAACUAAACCCAAAGGCGCAAUGAAAGUGAAGGUCCGCCUCGCGCGGACUCGGGGAGGACGGGCGGCCCGCCCUCAGAAGCGGCCGCCUCGCACUCCCGGGGCGUCUCGUUCUCAUCGCGAGGGGAGGCGCACCGAGAGCGUACACGCUGGGACCCGAAAGAUGGUGACCUAUGCCUGGUCAGGACGAAGUCAGGGGAAACCCUGAU
rnacentral:rRNA from 1 species